rnacentral:rRNA from 1 species
GAUGGCGGCCAUAGGCGCCGGGGUCCACCGGAACUCGUUCCGAUCUCCGAAGUUAAGGCCGGUGCCGUUGCAGCAAGUGUGCGGUGCGCGAGCCCGUGACAAGGCUGCAAGCUGCCACAC